CCGCGUGGCGACGUCCUUGCUGUACCUAGCCUGCAGAGGCACGGCAGUAGUACUCGUGCAUCUGGCAUCUGAAUGGCCACAGCCCACAGCCAGCCGAGGCCGCGUUCAACGCCUCACACCAGCUAGGCAGCUAGGCCGCCUUCCGCCCUUCUCUGCGCCGGCUUCCGACUUCCGAUUCCGAGACGACCGGGGAAAUUUGAUCCAUCGCCACAGCGGCAGCGAGCCAACUAGCCAAGGUAAAGACGAUUGGAGGAAAAGGCGAGGCGAGGCAUCGUGUUCUUUCUUCUUCAUAGGCCAGUGCGUGGCCACGGGUGGAGUGGAGGUGGAGGGGUCCCCUGGCUCUGAAUCAUCCAUGGGACGGCAUCUCUUAGCCAGCAAGCAAAAUGUCCACGUUGGCUCACUUUCACUCAUCAAAGUUGUUUUGUUACUAGCUAGGCGGGAAAGACGCCUCAGGUGGCUUCGCAAAGCAGUUGGCUAUAUAUUCUGAAAAGAAAAGAACUUUAUUUUUUUUGCCCUGUAGACAAGUGCGUAUUGAUUGUUCAGAGAUUUGUAACAGAGAAGCAUAUAAUUAUAAUGCAAGCUCCAUGCGACACGUAUAAAAUAGGAACAGCGAUAUGACCAAAGUACUCGUGUGUUCUGAUAGUGGCAUAUUUGAUUUGCGCCUCGAGUUCCACUAUUUCUGUAAGAAAAUUCAUUAAU